CAGAAGUUAUACAAAUAAAAGAAUAAAAAAAUAUACAAUACAGUACUGUUUCUAAUUCGCGGAUUUUCACCUACCGCGGGAUGGGGUUGGAACGUAAAACUCGC